rnacentral:ncRNA from 1 species
UUCUUCGGGGUCGGGUGAAAGUCCCAACCGGCGGUAAUAGUCCGCGACCUGUCGUAAGAAACCUCUUACGAUGGCUGAUUUGGUGGAAUUCCAAAACCGACAGUACAGUCUGGAUGAGAGAAGAUA